CGCCAGCGCAGGAGUCCCUGCGGAUAGAAAAGGAAGGAAUCUGCUGUGCACAGAGUGGGCAAUCAAUUCUGGAAUCAUUAGGAGAGCCUGUGUCCAGAAAGAUGAAAUGCCAAAGGCCCAGACCUUCAGUAACUGUGGAGUGAAACAAACCCGCCUCAGUGAAGCAGGGGGUUGAGAGCUGUCCUGGAUGGCAUUCAUUUAAAUGUCCACACUGUUUGUACCAUGGGAUUGUGGAGCCUGUCCCACUAAUACGGCGGGAUAUAUUCCCCCACCUGCCCCCUUG
rnacentral:lncRNA from 1 species